CUAGCGUUGCUCGGAAUUACUGGGCGUAAAGCGCACGUAGGCGGCUUUCUAAGUCGGGGGUGAAAUCCUGGAGCUCAACUCCAGAACUGCCUUCGAUACUGGCGAUCUUGAGUCCGGGAGAGGUGAGUGGAACUGCGAGUGUAGAGGUGAAAUUCGUAGAUAUUCGCAAGAACACCAGUGGCGAAGGCGGCUCACUGGCCCGGUACUGACGCUGAGGUGCGAAAGCGUGGGGAGCAAACAGG
rnacentral:rRNA from 1 species